GACGAACGCUGGCGGCGUGCUUAACACAUGCAAGUCGAACGAAGUGGCGAACGGGUGAGUAACGCGUAAUCAACCUGUCCUUCAGAGGGGGACAACAGUUGGAAACGACUGCUAAUACCGCAUACUGAAGGUGGGGAUUGCGUCUGAUUAGCUAGUUGGGGGGGUAACGGCCCACCAAGGCGAUGAUCGGAAGCCGGUCUGGGAGGAGGGAUGGGCACAUUGGGACUGGGGCACCGCCCAGACUCCCACGGGAGGGAGCAGGGGGGAAACUUCCGCAAUGGACGAAAGUCUGACGGGGCAACGCCGCGUGAGGGAUGACGGCCCUUGGGUUGUAAAGCUCUUUUAAUCGGGACGCGGUACCGGAAUAGAAAGCCACGGCUAACUACGUGCCAGCAGCCGCGGUAAUAC
rnacentral:rRNA from 1 species